AUUGAACGCUGGCGGCAUGCUUUACACAUGCAAGUCGAACGGUAACAGGCCGCAAGGUGCUGUCGAGUGGCGAACGGGUGAGUAAUGCAUCGGAACGUGCCCAGUCGUGGGGGAUAACUACUCGAAAGAGUAGCUAAUACCGCAUACGAUCUAUGGAUGAAAGCGGGGGACCGUAAGGCCUCGCGCGAUUGGAGCGGCCGAUGUCAGAUUAGGUAGUUGGUGGGGUAAAGGCUCACCAAGCCAACGAUCUGUAGCUGGUCUGAGAGGACGAACAGCCACACUGGGACUGAGACACGGCCCAGACUCCUACGGGAGGCAGCAGUGGGGAAUUUUGGACAAUGGGCGCAAGCCUGAUCCAGCAAUGCCGCGUGCAGGAAGAAGGCCUUCGGGUUGUAAACUGCUUUUGUACGGAACGAAACGGCUCUGGUUAAUACCCGGGGCUAAUGACGGUACCGUAAGAAUAAGCACCGGCUAACUACGUG
rnacentral:rRNA from 1 species